UACGGGGGGGGGCAAGCGUUGUUCGGAAUUACUGGGCGUAAAGGGCUCGUAGGCGGCCAACUAAGUCAUACGUGAAAUCCCUCGGCUUAACCGGGGAACUGCGUCUGAUACUGGAUGGCUUGAGUUCGGGAGAGGGAUGCGGAAUUCCAGGUGUAGCGGUGAAAUGCGUAGAUAUCUGGAGGAACACCGGUGGCGAAGGCGGCAUCCUGGACCAACACUGACGCUGAGGAGCGAAAGCCAGGGGAGCAAACGGG
rnacentral:rRNA from 1 species